UUUUGGAGUCCUCUAAUACUUGCUUCUUGGACCAAAGUUAAUUCCUUGAUUAGAUCAUUAUCCUUAUGAACCCUUUCUUCACAAUUGCAAUGGCAGAAGAGAUGUUGCCAGGCCUUUCAGGAAGGGAGAGACACCCAGGUGUGACCCAGUAAACUUUUUCAACUGGAAAGCGCCUUGGGCCCUGGAGCUAUGAUGUGUAAGGAAGACAGGGUUGGCUGCCGUUAUAAAGCAAACAGAUGGAAAAUGGAAAGGCCCUGCCAUAAUUCUUCAGAACAUGGUUGGUCUCCAGCCGUUACCCUGCAGGUGGGCCUCUCAUUAAAGUCAGCACAAAAAUGCUGCUGCUGGUGAGCUUCCCUGGGAUUGCAAACAUGUUUUCUGUCCAGACACAGCUCUGCCCUUUUGACAACAACAGAAAAGCAGUCUUUGGAACGAGACUUCUGCUUAUCAAGAGAGUUUCCCUGCUUCAGAUCUGUCUGGAAACAGUUUACCUCAGGGUUGGCAGGUCAGCAGGUGGAGUAGCUGCAAGGGCUUUACCUCUCCUGCAUAGUCUGGGGAGACCUCUCACCGUACCCCACAGUAUUUGGGAAUCAAUUUUAUCCUCUGAUGCCUCUGCCUUCCUUAUUACCCCCUUUAUAUCAUUAUCUGUUCCUGACCUCCCUUCAUGAAACGUGUCUACCUGCCUGGUGAAUCUCAAGUACCCAUCAAAGAGCCCAAGAAUCUUGGACCUUGCCA
rnacentral:lncRNA from 1 species